CUACGGGACGCACCAGUGGGGAAUAUUGCACAAUGGGCGCAAGCCUGGUGCAGCAACGCCGCGUGAGGGAUGAAGGCCUUCGGGUUGUAAACCUCUUUUAGCAGGGAAGAAGCGAAAGUGACGGUACCUGCAGAAAAAGCACCGGCUAACUACGUGCCAGCAGCCGCGGUAAUACGUAGGGUGCAAGCGUUGUCCGGAAUUAGUGGGCGUAAAGAGCUCGUAGGCGGUUUGUCACGUCUGCUGUGAAAAUCCAAGGCUCAACCUUGGACUUGCAGUGGGUACGGGCAGGCUAGAGUGCGGUAGGGGAGAUGGGAAUUCCUGGUGUAGCGGUGGGAUGCGCAGAUAUCAGGAGGAACACCAAUGGCGAAGGCACAUCUCUGGGCCGUAACUGACGCUGAGGAGCGAAAGCGUGGGGAGCGAACAGGAUUAGAUACCCCGGUAGUC
rnacentral:rRNA from 1 species